rnacentral:rRNA from 1 species
AUGGGGGACCCUGANGCCCCACCCCCGUGAGUGAUGACGGCCUNCUGGUUGUAAACCUCUGNCUNCAGGGACGAUAAUGNCGGUCCCUGAGGAGGAACCCCCGGCUAACUNCGUGCCACCACCCCCGGUAAUNCGUAGGUGGCAAGCGUUGNCCGGAUUUNCUGGGCCGUAAAGGGAGCCGUAGGCGGACUUUUAAGUGAGAUGUGAAAUACCCGGGCCUCANCUUGGGUGCCUGCCAUUUCAAACUGGAAGUCUAGAGUGCCAGGAGAGGAGAAUGGAAUUCCCUAGUGUAGCCGGUGAAAUGCCGUAGAGAUUAGGAAGANCACCAGUGGCCGAAGGCCGAUUCUCUGGAAUGUANCUGACGCCUGAGGCUCGAAAGCGUGGGGAGCCAAACAGGAUUAGAUNCCCUGGUAGUCCAAGGGCCGAAUUC